GCUGGUUCAGGGCAUGGCCACUAGCUGCUGGUGCUUUGGGGAUGUGGAGAACCUUUAAGAUUGUGGUCCCUCCUUGGGGUGUGAUAGGUCUAUGGAGUGCGCUCUUGGGGAGACUAUAGGAAUCCUAGUGCCUUCCUCGCUGUUUUGGCUGUCACAAGGAGAGCAUCCUUCAUCACCACAUGCUUCUACCUGAAUGUGCUAUGCAGCCCAUGCCUGGAGCAACACAGUCAAACAGCCAUGGACUGACACCUCCAAAACUUUGCGAUUUUCUUCCCCCUGGUCGUC
rnacentral:lncRNA from 1 species